rnacentral:rRNA from 1 species
UCCCUCCUACGGGAGGCAGCAGUGAGGAAUAUUGGUCAAUGGGCGGAAGCCUGAACCAGCCACGUCGCGUGAGGGAAUAAGGCCCUACGGGUCGUAAACCUCUUUAGGCGGGGAGCAAUGCCGGGCACGCGUGCCCGGAGGGAGGGUACCCGCAGAAUAAGCAUCGGCUAACUCCGUGCCAGCAGCCGCGGUAAUACGGAGGAUGCGAGCGUUAUCCGGAUUUAUUGGGUUUAAAGGGUGCGUAGGCGGAUUUUUAAGUCAGCGGUAAAAUGUCCGGGCUCAACCCGGGCCGGCCGGUUAAACUG